rnacentral:misc_RNA from 1 species
AAAAUCCCUCAUUUCUACAACAUUUGGUACAUCCAUCCUUGAUGGACCCCAAUGGGCAUGGAAAUAAAUACUGGAUGUUUUGCUAUACUGAGCAAGCUUGAUCUUGUUAGCAUUGCAAUCAUCUAAAAAUGAAUUGUGGAUGCUCCCCAGCAGAUUGCUCCUGGGCCUGCCAAAGUGCAACAGAUAAUUACUUUAAUUUUGUCUUGAAACACAUUGGCUAUGGUUAUCUCGGCAAUAACUGGGAAUUUUUAGUAUCCAUUCUGUUAAAGAAUGCUCUUGACAA